AGGAAAAUAUUCUGUGGAUGAAUGCGAUAACGCAAGUCAAAUGUCAAAUAAAUCUUCCCCAUUGUUGUUUAUGGGUUUGUCACCAUUUUUGUCAUAAGCCUUGUUCUAUGAUUGUAACCUUGUUGUGUAUGUCUGUAUCUAUGUUUGUCUAUGUAUGUCGAAAUUUUAAAAUCCAUAGUAAUCGUUACGAAUCGUUACAUAAAUAUGUUAGCUCAAAUAUUAAUCGUUAGCUCAAAUAUAAAAAUGUGCUGUGUGCCUCAGUGCUAUGAUAUGUCUUCAAGACGCAAAUUCUAAUGGUCCCUCACUUAAACACUAUGGGCACUAUGUGGUCUGUGCUCGACAUUUUCAUAAUGUGUGUUUUCGUCCGGACGGAAAAUUAAUAUUACGCUCUUUACCUACUAAAGAACUUCCAGGUUUUAAAGAUGAUGCUUCCAGGGACUCUAGCUUUCUCAAAAAACCAUUAUUUUGUGGCGAACUCUAUCCGCCACUUCUCAACUAGCAGCUCCAACCGAAACGCCAGCUAUAUCUCACCGCAUAACAGCUGUGGCGUUUCGAUUCAAAUAGAACUUCCAACCUAUGUUCCGCAACCGGCGUCUA
rnacentral:lncRNA from 1 species